GCUAAUACUUGACGGUUUUCACCCCUUGUCGAGUCCAUUCCCUCUGGGAGUGUAAUCGAUGAGGGCGGGGGAUGCUUCACGUAUCCUCUACAUAUUACCACUUUUUUUUGAAUAAGGGUGGAAUAUAUGCCAAGAGAAUUGUAGAAAUCGAGAGAUUUUCACAAGUCAUCAUUAAGAAUAUCUGACCUAUCAACUGGUUGUUGGUAAGGUAGUGGCUUACCAAGGUGAUAACGGGUAACGAGGAAUAAGGGUUCGACAUCGGAGAGGGAGCUUUAGAGAUGGCUACCACUUCUAAGGAAGGCAGCAGGCGCGAAAAUUACCCAAUCUUAACAAAUGAAGGAGGUAGUGACGACAAUUAACGCUAUCCUCGUCUUUUGGCGAGGAUCGUCGGAAUGAUUUCGAUUUAAAAUAUCGAAAGAAAGCAAUUGGAGGGCAAGUCUGGUGCCAGCAGCCGCGGUAAUUCCAGCUCCAAUAGUGUAUUGUAAAGUUGUUGUGAUUAAAACGCUCGUAGUUGAAUGAAAACAAUCGGGACAUGAUUUACGAUCUCUCCUCCAUACGGUGGAUUCGUCCAUUAGGUCGAGUUGAUCAAAAAUCAAACAAUGUCCUACUAUAAGCGAGAGGGUGGAAUUAAUUCCAAACUCUUUUACUUUGAUUAAAUCAAGGUGCUUAAAGCAAAAUCUUCUGUUAACGAAUGAUGAAGCAUGGUAUAGAAUUAAAACAGAACAGAAAGAAUAACGAAUAAAUGGAGAUGGGCAACCAUUCGAAAUUUAUUUAUUUUUGUUUUGUUUAAAACAAGGUUAAGAGAAAUGAUUAGGGUGAUUUAGAUAGGAACGGGAGAGGUGGAAUUCCAUGAUCGUUUCGAGAUAAACGAGAGCGAAAGCAUUUCACUGAAUUCAUUUCAUUAAUCAAGAACGAAAGUCAGGGAAUCAAAGACGAUUAGAUACCGUCGUAGUCCUGACCAUAAACGAUGUCAACUAAGGAUUGGAUAAGAAACAUCGAAGUAUGAGCCUUUUUCUCCAACUUGUUGGAAAAAAAGCGUUUCGCUUCAUUUCUUCCCUUAUUCAGGACUUGAUGAGAAAUCAUUAAGUGAAUGGACUUCAGGGGGAGUAUGGUCACAAGGCUGAAACUUAAAGGAAUUGACGGAAGGGCACACCAGGAGUGGAGCCUGCGGCUUAAUUUGACUCAACACGGGAAAACUUACCAAGACCAAACGGUGUAAGGAAUGACAGAUUACUGGGUCUUUCAUGAUUCAUCGGGGAGU
rnacentral:rRNA from 1 species